rnacentral:rRNA from 1 species
GAGACAGGUGCUGCAUGGCUGUCGUCAGCUCGUGUUGUGAAAUGUUGGGUUAAGUCCCGCAACGAGCGCAACCCUUAUCCUUUGUUGCCAGCGGUCCGGCCGGGAACUCAAAGGAGACUGCCAGUGAUAAACUGGAGGAAGGUGGGGAUGACGUCAAGUCAUCAUGGCCCUUACGACCAGGGCUACACACGUGCUACAAUGGCGCAUACAAAGAGAAGCGACCUCGCGAGAGCAAGCGGACCUCAUAAAGUGCGUCGUAGUCCGGAUUGGAGUCUGCAACUCGACUCCAUGAAGUCGGAAUCGCUAGUAAUCGUGGAUCAGAAUGCCAUGGUGAAUACGUUCCCGGGCCUUGUACACACCGCCCGUCACACCAUGGGAGUGGGUUGCAAAAGAAGUAGGUAGCUUAACCUUCGGGAGGGCGCUUACCACUUUGUGAUUCAUGACUGGGGUGAAGUCGUAACAAGGUAACCGUAGAGGAACCUGCGGCUGGAUCACCUC